rnacentral:rRNA from 1 species
AUUGAACGCUGGCGGCAGGCCUAACACAUGCAAGUCGAGCGAGCGGCGGACGGGUGCGUAAUGUAUGGGGAUCUGCCCGAUAGAGGGGGAUAACUACUGGAAACGGUAGCUAAUACCGCAUACUAUCGGAUGCACCCAGAGGGGAUUAGCUAGUAGGUGGGGUAAAGGCUCACCUAGGCGACGAUCCCUAGCUGGUCUGAGAGGAGGAACAGUCACACUGGGACUGAGACACGGCCCAGACUCCUGCGGGAGGCAGCAGUGGGGAAUAGUGCACAAUGGGCGAAAGCCUGAUGCAGCCAUGCCGCGUGUAUGAAGAAGGCCUUAGGGUUGUAAAGUACUUUCAGCGGGGAGGCGUUACCCGCAGAAGAAGCACCGGCUAACUCCGUGCCAGCAGCCGCGGUAAUAC